AACAUUUUGGCUUUUUAACGACAUGCAAGACGACAGAGACUCGAAACAACUCUACUACUACUACUACUGGUUGGAAAUGUAUAAUUAUUUCAUUUUGUACAUGUUCACUAGGUAGUAGCUGGUCGGGGGCCACUCGACUCGAUUGAAAUCAUUCUAAAUAUGGAGUAUGCUGCGUGCGUUGUCUCCACAGUGUUGGAGAGGAGAAAACAGACGGUGGUGGAGUUUCUUUGCAAGGGGGUGGUCUGUCUUGGACGACAACAAUUCAUUUACAUCCCGCACAUGCAAAAUGAUCGGCUGGAAACGCACCGCGGCAUUCCUUGAAAUGCCCCGAACGAACAAAACAAAAAGAAACAAGGACCAAUGAGAUAAGCCACAAAAGAAGAAAGGAAAUACCCAAAAAAAACAACGAAUACAUUGCAGCGCAACAAAAAAAGAAGGAAGACAAACCCCCAGCAAAGGCGAGCGGUGAAUUGCUGUUGGUGCAAUUGCCCCAUUACGCAAUUAUUGGAAAUGCUAUGGCCGCUGUUGGCUCAAAAUCGCUAAACAAACGCCAUCCUUUCAUUCAUUUUGAUCCCGCAUCAUUGGAUUCCACGUGGAGUCAAGAUUCUCAUUUCUCAAGACUUCGUCUCAAAUGACACAAGGAAAUGGCAAAAAAAAAAAAAAACCAACAAGAAGACACCCAACAAGUCAAAAGUAACAAAACGGGGAUCCCGCUGGCCUCUGUUGCGAAGCGACCGCGCCCUGCGAGCAUCUUUGCCGGAGGGAAACGCGAAAAAGAAGAGACAAGUCACAUGAGAAGAGCAACAACACAGGGCAAGGCAACGCAGCCAUCAACUCCUCCUGCUGCUGAUGGUGGUGGUGUGGCGGAUGUUAUAGCCUUGCCGUUGUCUUCAGUUCAAGGUAAGGAAGUCAUUUUCGGAUCAAUCUCUUUUCCUUUAGCUUUUCCCUUGUUUGUUUUUCUCAAUCGACUCUAGUCCCUUUUGUACAUCCGCAUUGUUUCCCCCAUGUGAAUGAUAAUGGAUGUAGUUUCCUACUUCCGGAAAUCAUUCGCCGAUAAAGAAUCUGAGAACUCAUUCC